CAAAAACAUUCUUAGUUGCUACAGGAACUUCUUUCAAAUGGAGCUCUCCAAUUCCACUCUAUGGGGAAUCUAGACAGAUAGCACCAUCUUUUCAAAAAAGCCUCCUUAUUGGAAACUGACUGUGUCUGAAGAGGGCCAAAGCAUUGCCCUACUCAUAUUGCUGUCUUCUUCAUUAUCUGAAUCAAGGAGGUCUGCGUUCUCUGUGCCUGUAUCAGUCAAUUCUUGCUCCAUUUCACUGUCACAGGAACUUUGGCUCACAUGGCCAAUGUCAAAGUCAUUGUCGUCGUCAUCAUCAUCAUCU
rnacentral:lncRNA from 1 species